CCCUACCGGGUUCUUCUCCUCAAGCUGGAAAAGUGCUUCUAGACUCAGCUCUCACCGGCUCAAGCAACCGAGAAAGAGUCUUCCAGAGUUAUUUGGUGGUGAAACCUUCUUUCCCAGACAUCUGUCUGCAUGGGACUCCAUGCAGAAGAGGAGCUGUAUUGACUGCCUGGAAGCAAUGCCAUGGCUAGAUUCAGGUUUUAAUAUAAACUCCGUGGCUCCUGUGCGGAGCGGAUUCAGAAGUUCUCAGAUUCCAACCUGUGGAUAAGCUUCACCAGAGUCACCUGAGAAGCUUAUGAAAGGGUCAUGCCCAAGCCUCACGUGAAAUCUUCUGAAUCAGGAUCUC